AAUUUAAACCAAUAUUAAUAAAAAAGUAAUUUAAAUGUUAAAUCUUUCAUACAGACCUUUAAUUAAAAGGUAAAUGAUUAUGCUACCUUAGAAUUAAUAUUCUGCGGCUAUUUAUUAAACAUUGGAGCUUAGAUUUUUACUAAUAUAGGACUAAAUUGGAAUUAAACAUAGAAAUGUUUUUAUACAUUAAAAAGACGACAAGACCCUAUUGAACUUUACUAUAGUUAAGCUGGGGAAGCUAAUUAAAUAUAAUUUUAAUUUUAUUACUACACAAAAUUUCUGAAAUAAUCAAUUUGAAUAAGUUACCAUAGGGAUAACAGCGUAAUAAUUCUUUAAAGCUCUUAUUAAAAGAAAAGUUUACGACCUCGAUGUUGAAUUAGGAUUACUAUAAAACGCAAUAGUUUUAUUAGUAGGUCUGUUCGACCUUUAAAUUCCUACA
rnacentral:rRNA from 2 species